UACAGAGGUCCCAAGCGUUGUUCGGAUUCACUGGGCGUAAAGGGUGCGUAGGUGGCAGGGUAAGUUUGAUGUGAAAUCUCCGAGCCUAACUCGGAAACUGCAUUGAAUACUAUUCUGCUCGAGGUUUGGAAGGGGGACUGGAAUUCUCGGUGUAGCAGUGAAAUGCGUAGAUAUCGAGAGGAACACCAGUGGCGAAGGCGAGUCCCUGGACAACACCUGACACUGAGGCACGAAAGCUAGGGGAGCAAACAGG
rnacentral:rRNA from 1 species